rnacentral:rRNA from 1 species
CAGCAGCCGCGGUAACACAGAGGGUGCAAGCGUUAAUCGGAAUUACUGGGCGUAAAGCGCGCGUAGGUGGUUUGUUAAGUUGGAUGUGAAAGCCCCGGGCUCAACCUGGGAACUGCAUCCAAAACUGGCAAGCUAGAGUACGGUAGAGGUUGGUGGAAUUUCCUGUGUAGCGGUGAAAUGCGUAGAUAUAGGAAGGAACACCAGUGGCGAAGGCGACCACCUGGACUGAUACUGACACUGAGGUGCGAAAGCGUGGGGAGCAAACAGGAUUAGAUACCCCUGUAGUCCCUGUCUCUUAUAC